UUCUUCUGAACUGCAUCACGCUUACCAGCUAGGGCCUUGAUGCGGGAUCGUUCAAACAGUCGAGCAGAACUAUUUUCAUUGUCCCAGUCAUCGACAUCCCAGCG